rnacentral:misc_RNA from 1 species
CAAGAAAACCUCCUCAAAGAAGUGACGUCCUCCUCAACAGCAUGACAGCCACAGGCUCAUUCAAUUGCUAAUCCUCUGCUUCGUUACAAGGAACAGUAAGAAAAAUAAAAGAAAUUGAAUUCAAAUAAGAGAGACUCCAUCAUGUGGUAGGGAGAUGCAGUAGCCUCAUCCACUCAGGUGAUUCCAACACAAAAAUAUAUGAAUCCGUUCAAUUCCCAAUCCCUCAGGCCUCCGUUUGGCGCUGAGAAAAGGCAGGAAAAGGUGAGAAAGUGAUACUUUACACCUCACAUUUUCCAUUACUUCCACACCAAUACAUAACGAAAUCCAAUUCAAGAAACUCGUCUUAUAAGCAGUGGAAUUCCAAAAAUCCAAAAGAAAUUAUUUCCCAUCCUUUCGUCGCCUUUGUCAGCAACCAAACAAACAGCGGACAAAAACCGAAAACCAUACUUAAACCACCAUUACAAAUGAUUUUUCCAAAUAAAAUUCCCUCGAAAAAAAAAAAUCAAUCAAAUCAUGACGAACAAGAAAACAAACAAUCUAAAACAAGAGAAAACACUCCGUUUCUAAAUACAUCGAAGAGAGCUCAUAAAGCUGUCCACGUAAAACCACUCGAAACUUACCAGUGAAGCUCUGCUCUUGAUUA